CCCAAUAGUUUUCACUAUAUCGAUCAGUAAUUAUUAGGAAAAACGUAAAUCCUAUCAAAUAACAUCUUAAUUAUAAUUAUCUAUUAAUUAGUUAAAAUUUAAUUUGACGUAAUAUAGAUAAGUUUUUAUUUUUUUUAAAAAUAGAUAACCGAACUUAAAGCUCUGAUUUUCAAAUUCAUGCCUGAGUUCCGCCAAGUGGUGCAAAAGCGCCAACCUAGCGUCCAUGCAAUGGUUUGGAAAACCCCCAGAAAAUAGGAACCCGACCUAUUAACUGUACAAUAUUUUAUGGAUUUCAACAGCAAUUUGCAAGAUUUCUUAAAUUAAGGUUAUUUCGCUUGUCACAGGACUGAACCAAUGACAUGAAAGGUGAGGAACAUAUAUCAAGUGAGAACCAGUUUGCUUGGUACAUUGUAGAAAACCAAUUGAAGAGAGGCUUUGCCUGUCUCAUUACAGUCAUCCCCCCUGCAACCCUCGAGGGGGGGGGGACGGAUAAGUGAAGAGAUGAAAUAAAUUCCUGCUUCUCCCCUUA